rnacentral:rRNA from 1 species
GACGAACUCUGGCGGCGUGCUUAACACAUGCAAGUCGAACGGUAAGGCUCCAGCUUGCUGGGGUACACGAGUGGCGAACGGGUGAGUAACACGUGGGUGACCUGCCCUGCACUUCGGGAUAAGCCUGGGAAACUGGGUCUAAUACCGGAUAGGACCGCACCGUGAGGGUGUGGUGGAAAGUUUUUUCGGUGUGGGAUGGGCCCGCGGCCUAUCAGCUUGUUGGUGGGGUAAUGGCCUACCAAGGCGGCGACGGGUAGCCGGCCUGAGAGGGUGGACGGCCACAUUGGGACUGAGACACGGCCCAGACUCCUACGGGAGGCAGCAGUGGGGAGUAUUGCACAAUGGGCGGAAGCCUGAUGCAGCGACGCCGCGUGGGGGAUGACGGCCUUCGGGUUGUAAACUCCUUUCACCAUCGACGAAGGGUUUCUGACGGUAGAUGGAGAAGAAGCACCGGCUAACUACGUGCCAGCAGCCGCGGUAAUACGUAGGGUGCGAGCGUUGUCCGGAAUUACUGGGCGUAAAGAGCUCGUAGGUGGUUUGUCGCGUCGUCUGUGAAAUUCCGGGGCUUAACUCCGGGCGUGCAGGCGAUACGGGCAUAACUUGAGUACUGUAGGGGAGACUGGAAUUCCUGGUGUAGCGGUGAAAUGCGCAGAUAUCAGGAGGAACACCGGUGGCGAAGGCGGGUCUCUGGGCAGUAACUGACGCUGAGGAGCGAAAGCAUGGGGAGCGAACAGGAUUAGAUACCCUGGUAGUCCAUGCCGUAAACGGUGGGCGCUAGGUGUGGGUUUCCUUCCACGGGAUCCGUGCCGUAGCUAACGCAUUAAGCGCCCCGCCUGGGGAGUACGGCCGCAAGGCUAAAACUCAAAGGAAUUGACGGGGGCCCGCACAAGCGGCGGAGCAUGUGGAUUAAUUCGAUGCAACGCGAAGAACCUUACCUGGGCUUGACAUAUACAGGAUCGCGCCAGAGAUGGUGUUUCCCUUGUGGCUUGUAUACAGGUGGUGCAUGGUUGUCGUCAGCUCGUGUCGUGAGAUGUUGGGUUAAGUCCCGCAACGAGCGCAACCCUUGUCUUAUGUUGCCAGCACGUUGUGGUGGGGACUCGUAAGAAACUGCCGGGGUUAACUCGGAGGAAGGUGGGGAUGACGUCAAAUCAUCAUGCCCCUUAUGCCCAGGGCUUCACACAUGCUACAAUGGUCGGUACAGUGGGUUGCCAGUCCGUGAGGGCGAGCUAAUCCCGCAAAGCCGGUCUCAGUUCGGAUCGGGGUCUGCAACUCGACCCCGUGAAGUCGGAGUCGCUAGUAAUCGCAGAUCAGCAACGCUGCGGUGAAUACGUUCCCGGGCCU